rnacentral:rRNA from 1 species
CGCUGGCGGCGUGCCUAAUACAUGCAAGUCGAACGGUCUUUCUAUGGAAGCUUGCUUCCACUGAGAAGAUAGUGGCGAACGGGUGAGUAACACGUGGGUAACCUGCCCAUAAGAGGGGGGAUAACAUCCGGAAACGGGUGCUAAUACCGCAUAGUUUUCUUGAUUGCAUGAUUGAGAAAGGAAAGACGGCCUUUGUGCUGUCGCUUAUGGAUGGACCCGCGGCGUAUUAGUUAGUUGGUGAGGUAACGGCUCACCAAGACGAUGAUACGUAGCCGACCUGAGAGGGUGAUCGGCCACAUUGGGACUGAGACACGGCCCAAACUCCUACGGGAGGCAGCAGUAGGGAAUCUUCCGCAAUGGACGAAAGUCUGACGGAGCAACGCCGCGUGAGUGAAGAAGGUUUUCGGGAAUCGUAAAACUCUGUUGUCAGAGAAGAACAAGUUGGAGAGUAACUGCUCCAGCCUUGACGGUAUCUGACCAGAAAGCCACGGCUAACUACGUGCCAGCAGCAGC